rnacentral:lncRNA from 1 species
CCGGGUGAGGCCCUAAAAAGACAAAAAAAAAAGAAAAAGAAAGAAAGCACAGCUGACCAGGUGUUUGACCACAGAGGGUGGUGAAGACUGAAACAACCUGAAGGACACAGGUACCAUCUAGAAGGGGUGGUAUCCUCUACUCAGCUCUGCCUGGAUGUUGCCUUGUGAGAAGACAGUUCUAGCGUUGGCAUAGAACUUCACAGCUUCACAUUUAGACUCUAGAAAUUCAGGUUUUAUAUGAAAUCUCAAACUUUUAAGCUCUGGCAAAACACGUGACAUAUUUUUGAACACUAUGAGGAAAGAAAUUGUGCUAGUCUGAUCUAGAUCAUUGAAUGGCCUCCAGUUGGUGACCUUGAGUUAUACAUUCAAUUCCCCAGUGUCCCACUUUGAGCUUUAUGAAUUUUUAAUUUUAUUUGCCCAUGUCAGUUCAUAUGCAGUGAUACCUUGGUGCUAUUUCAGUUAUUGUUUUAAAUUUUUUGUAAGGCUGUGUUUCCACCCCCUUAUGAUAGUCUUCUAUCCUAUUAUUCAUGUGAAAUUGUGUAUAUCUCCUUUAUUUGUGAGGCACCUGCUGGGUACUGAUUUGUACAACAGGUCAAUUCUUUACACACAUGCACAAAUAUGGGUGUGUGUGAUAGUAUGCUUUAGUCAGAUAUAUUUAUUGCAUGAUCUCAUUAUGUUGCUUUUUUCUUUUACCUAGUUUAGAUGCUUUAGUUUCACAUAUCUCUACUCAUUCAUCUUGCCUCCGAUGAGAUUCUAAUAGAUUCUAUUUUUUUCAGUAUCCUGAAUGUAUCUCUUCUCCAUAACUGGAGAGGAACAGUUUUUUUGUUGCCCUAGUUUUCAAUAAAAUGUUAAACUCUAACUCAUCUGGAAUUAAUACACUGUAUGGUAUGAAAAGUGACUCUAAGGUAAUUUUCUCUGUACUGAUAUCACAUUGGCCCAAUACUAUUUAUUAAAUAGUAAUUAAUUUCUCUAUUGUUGGGGAUUCUUAUAAUCAUUUGAAUUGAUUUUAUCAAUCUCAGUUGUAUUCUAUCAGUCUGCUUUUAUGGGUUUUGAACUGUUUCUUAAUAUAUAAUUAUCACUUUGUGAUUUUAAUCUCUGAUAGAAUAAAAGUUACAGAGAAUAUAUCAAAUUAUUUGAUCAUUAGGCAAAAUGAUCUCUUCAUGUCCUCUGAUGUUCCCUCUUUCAAAAAAAAAAAGGAAAGAUGUAUUAGCUUCUAAAGUCAACUAAUAUGGUCAAGGAGAAUUAAACGUUACGAGUUAGGAAUGAAUGACAGAUUAUUUAGGAUAACACAUUAUGCCAAGUAAGUUUUAUUAGCUGAUACAAUGGUGUGAUUGACAGUUUUCAUUGAAUCCAUUUAUGUAUCUAUAUAAUUAGGAAAUGAAAUCAAUGGUCUCUGUGAGUUUCUUUAGAAUGCUAGAAAUUCUGUGACUUCUUUUCUCUGAUAUAACUGUAAUCAUUCCAGCAAGCCCAAUGUCUGACAACAUACAGGCUUUGUGAUGGGAAGACAGGGUGAGACACUGUCUUCCCUGGGAGACCUCUCCUAAUGGUAGCCUUUCCUCUGUACCCACUUGGUACCCAGCGCGUUUUGCUGCGCAGGGCCUGGAACAACACUGUAGAAGAAAAAUAAUUUCUUAACAUGAAUUCAGUCCAUGCAAAGCCUGUCAUGGCCUUCAUGGUUACAAUAUUUUCCUCUGUGAGUGGAGGCAAGAAUAAUUUUCCAAACCUGGAAAGCUGGAGGUUCUAGCAUCACAGGAAUCUGCCUGAGCUGCUUUCAGGAAGCAGCUUCAUCCUGGCCAUGGCUCAGAUAUUUGAGAUUGGAGUGAAAGCAAAAAUGAGAACUGAAGUACCUGAUAACCAUAGUGACAAGAUGCAUAUAUGUGGGAUCUUUGAAUUCUCUUCUUAGUCCAGGAUGAACAGCAGGACCCGCAUACAUAUAUGGAAUUAGAAACUUAGAAUCAUUUGGGUCUCUAACCCCCAAAACCAUAGAGGAUAUCCUAAAGUUUAAAACUUAAAGCUGUUACAUUUUUGCACUGUAAUGUAUUGUUCACGGCCAGUGAUAAACUGGUUAUUCCUGUUACAGGAGUGUGUGGCCCAGAGACUGUGGGAGCUAUAUUUAUCUAGACAAUGAUACUAUAUAACAUAAUAAACAGAAAUGAAAAUUUCCCAUCUAGCCUGUUUUCUGAUUACAUCUUAAGAAUAUUUUGGUAAAUAUAUCUAAAAUGAAGGUGGGGAUAUUUUACAACUGUAAACCUUCCUUGCAUAGCAGGGAUGUAGUCCAUUAAUUCUCAGAGCUCCAGGCAAGGCUGACAAUUCAUAAGUGGUAAAUCCGGAGAGUUAUGAAGAUAUUAAAUCUCACAUCUGGUGAGAAAAUGUGUUAUUUCACCGGGUUGAUUGAUGGACACUUUCCCAUUACAGUGCAAUUUGGAAAAUCGCACUGUUAAUUGCUAGGGUUUUAGCAAAGCUCUGUAGUUCAAUUCCAAUUACUUUAGUUUUGAAAAACAGAACAGCUGGAUGGUAAAAUUGCCUGGAGCUGUCACCAACGGAGGGCACAAGCCAGCAACCUGACCUCUGCCAUUCCUCCGUUGGAUUUUCUGCAGAGCUAUUAGUUGGGGAAAUCACAGGCUCCAGAUACUAUGAGAUCUCCUUGCCAUGUGAUUUCUUCUGGCUCAGGAGCAAGUCUGUUUGCUUACUGCUCAGGUGAUCACACUCCAUCAUCUGGAGGGCCCUCUCCCCCCGGUUAUUACUCAUUUGCCUCCCUCUUCACAGGGGAGAGAUGAGAAAAGUUAAAUCUCAUCACUUCUUGACCCUAAACUGCAAGGUGAUCGCUAAAGAGCCAAGCACAGUUUUGAACCUCCUCCUCGGAGAUUUCUUUUGCUGUCUUACUGACCUUUCGAGUCUCUGUCUAUGGGGCAAAUUACAUGUCUCCACACACCUUCUCUUUGUCUCAGGCUAAAUAUAGAAAGAACAACUCCAGUUGUGGUUUGAAAAUGACCUAGUACCGGCAGCUAACUAUAAUCAAACUGGUGAUCAAGCCCCCACUCCCCACACCUACUCCAGCUAACUGACUACUUGAGCCAGAUACAGAUGAGGUGUUUUCUUUGGUUAAUGUAACAUAGGCACCAGGAGUUCUGCCUAGCUUGGUGCAGCUGUGAGUGUACUAGGGGCUUUCUUUGGGAGUUUCAGGAUUUAAGAGUUGGGAGCAUGGAGUUAUCAGAUGCAAACUAUUGCUCUUGGAAUGGAUUUACAGUGAGAUCCUGCUGUGUAGCAUUGAGAACUAUGUCUAGAUACUUAUAUCACAACAGAACAAAGGGAGGAAAAAAAUGUAUACAUGUAAGUGUAACUUGGUCCCCAUGCUGUA